CCAGACUCCUACGGGAGGCAGCAGUGGGGAAUAUUGCACAAUGGGGGAAACCCUGAUGCAGCGACGCCGCGUGAGUGAAGAAGUAUUUCGGUAUGUAAAGCUCUAUCAGCAGGGAAGAAAAUGACGGUACCUGACUAAGAAGCCCCGGCUAACUACGUGCCAGCAGCCGCGGUAAUACGUAGGGGGCAAGCGUUAUCCGGAUUUACUGGGUGUAAAGGGAGCGUAGACGACAUGGCAAGUCAGAUGUGAAAGCCCGGGGCUCAACCCCGGGACUGCAUUUGAAACUGUCAGGCUGGAGUGCAGGAGAGGUAAGUGGAAUUCCUAGUGUAGCGGUGAAAUGCGUAGAUAUUAGGAGGAACACCAGUGGCGAAGGCGGCCUGCUGGACGGUGACUGACGCUGAGGCUCGAAAGCGUGGGGAGCAAACAGGAUUAGAUACCCCUGUA
rnacentral:rRNA from 1 species